GGAGAGGUGGCUGAGCGGUCGAAAGCAGACGCCUGCUAAGCGUUUGGCCUGGGAAACUAGGCCCCUGGGUUCGAAUCCCAGCCUCUCCG
rnacentral:tRNA from 1 species